CAGCAGCCACGGUAAUACGUAGGUGGCAAGCGUUGUUCGGAAUUAUUGGGCGUAAAGGGCUCGCAGGCGGUUUCUUAAGUCUGAUGUGAAAGCCCCCGGCUCAACCGGGGAGAGUCAUUGGAAACUGGGAAACUUGAGUGCAGAAGAGGAGAGUGGAAUUCCACGUGUAGCGGUGAAAUGCGUAGAGAUGUGGAGGAACACCAGUGGCGAAGGCGACUCUCUGGUCUGUAACUGACGCUGAGGAGCGAAAGCGUGGGGAGCGAACAGGAUUAGAUACCCCAGUAGUCCCUGUCUCUUAUAC
rnacentral:rRNA from 1 species